rnacentral:rRNA from 1 species
AUUGAACGCUGGCGGAAUGCUUUACACAUGCAAGUCGAACGGCAGCACGGGGCAACCUGGUGGCGAGUGGCGAACGGGUGAGUAAUACAUCGGAACGUGCCCAAUCGUGGGGAUAACGUAGCGAAAGUUACGCUAAUACCGCAUACGAUCUACGGAUGAAAGCGGGGAUCGCAAGACCUCGCGCGAGUGGAGCGGCCGAUGUCAGAUUAGGUAGUUGGUGGGGUAAAGGCUCACCAAGCCAACGAUCUGUAGCUGGUCUGAGAGGACGACCAGCCACAUUGGAACUGAGACACGGUCCAAACUCCUACGGGAGGCAGCAGUGGGAAUAUUGCACAAUGGGCGAAAGCCUGAUGCAGCAACGCCGCGUGAGCGAUGAAGGCCUCGGUCGUAAAGCUCUGUCCUCAAGAAGAUAAUGACGGUACUUGAGGAGGAAGCCCGGCUAACUACGUGCCAGC